rnacentral:rRNA from 1 species
AGCGAACGUUAGCGGCAGGCUUAACACAUGCAAGUCGAGCGAGAAAGGGGCUUCGGCUCCGAGUAAAGCGGCGGACGGGUGCGUAACACGUGGAUAAUCUGCCUCGUGGCGGGGGACAACAGUCCGAAAGGACUGCUAAUACCGCAUGUCAGGUCGGAAACUCCGGUUUCUGACGAAAAAGAGGGCGUCCGCAAGGAGCUCUCACCACGAGAUGAGUCCGCGUCCCAUCAGCUAGUUGGCGGUGUAAUGGACCACCAAGGCUUAGACGGGUAGCUGGUCUGAGAGGAUGACCAGCCACACUGGGACUGAGACACGGCCCAGACUCCUACGGGAGGCAGCAGUGGGGAAUAUUGGACAAUGGGCGAAAGCCUGAUCCAGCCAUGCCGCGUGAGUGAUGAAGGCCUCGGUCGUAAGACUCUGUGGGAGGGACGGAAAAA